CCGGUUGAUCCCGCCGGACCUGACUGCUAUCGGAUUGAUACUAAGCCAUGCGAGUCAUUGUAGCAAUACAAGGCAGACGGCUCAGUAACGCGUAGUCAACCUAACCUAUGGAUGGGAAUAACCUCGGGAAACUGAGAAUAAUGCCCAAUAGAACACUAUACCUGGAAUGGUUUGUGUUCCAAAUGAUUUAUCGCCGUAGGAUGGGACUGCGGCCUAUCAGUUUGUUGGUGAGGUAAUGGCCCACCAAGACUAUUACAGGUACGGGCUCUGAGAGGAGUAGCCCGGAGAUGGGUACUGAGACACGGACCCAGGCCCUAUGGGGCGCAGCAGGCGAGAAAACUUUGCAAUGUGCGAAAGCACGACAAGGUUAAUCCGAGUGAUUUGUGCUAAACGAAUCUUUUGUUAGUCCUAGAAACACUAACGAAUAAGGGGUGGGCAAGUUCUGGUGUCAGCCGCCGCGGUAAAACCAGCACCUCAAGUGGUCAGGAUGAUUAUUGGGCCUAAAGCAUCCGUAGCCGGCUCUGUAAGUUUUCGGUUAAAUCUGUACGCUCAACGUACAGGCUGCCGGGAAUACUGCAGAGCUAGGGAGUGGGAGAGGUAGACGGUACUCGGUAGGAAGGGGUAAAAUCCUUUGAUCUAUUGAUGACCACCUGUGGCGAAGGCGGUCUACCAGAACACGUCCGACGGUGAGGGAUGAAAGCUGGGGGAGCAAACCGGAUUAGAUACCCGGGUAGUCCCAGCUGUAAACUAUGCAAACUCAGUGAUGCAUUGGCUUGUGGCCAAUGCAGUGCUGCAGGGAAGCCGUUAAGUUUGCCGCCUGGGAAGUACGUACGCAAGUAUGAAACUUAAAGGAAUUGGCGGGGGAGCACCACAAGGGGUGAAGCCUGCGGUUCAAUUGGAUUCAACGCCGGGAAUCUCU
rnacentral:rRNA from 1 species